UUUUUUUUUUUUGUCUCGACCAACAUUUUUACGUGAUCUACAAAAGGAGAAACAAAUACAUAAAUCUGUAUUCUUAACUUCAAAAUACUGUAUAAUCCGACUGCAAUAGGUAGUUUUCAAUCCAAAAUGAAGCAGUCUAUGUUUUGUUUGAGUAUGUUUAUCUUCAUUAUAUUCUUGGCUAACAGAGAAGUAAUGGCCCAAAGUAAUGAGGAUAUAAUCCAAGGAAAUCCUUCUAAGAAAUUUGGUAUAUUCGCAGCCUCUCUGGGGGGUGCGAUAAAUCAAGUUCCUCUGUCGGAAGUUUCGAUAAAUCCGCCUUCCGUCAUUAUUGAUAUACCAGGUCCUAAUGGUAAACGUUGAAUGCCAUUUCUCAUUCCUAACCAAAGAAGAGGAAAACAACUCUCAGUUGCUUUAAUCUUAUGAUGGUUAAUAAAUAAUUGUUUGGCUGAAUAUGUGUUUGCUUAUUGCUUUAGUCGAUCGGCAUCAAUAGAAUAAACGAAAAAAAUUAGAAUUAUAAUUCACCUAAGACUUGAUGCAAUAAUGUGUUGCAGUAAUUAUGCGAUAGUACGCAGUGUUCUAUAUUUCUUAACGUGGGAUUAAUUAUUUGAUAAAUGAAAAUAUUCGAAGAAAGUUAAAUUUCUUCCGAAAACAUUACCAUAAAU
rnacentral:lncRNA from 1 species